rnacentral:lncRNA from 1 species
UAAGUUCAAUCUCUUAAUGAAUGAAGCGGUAGCAUGCUACCUUCCUCUCAAAAAAAAAAAAAAAAAAAAAAAAAAGCUUACACUUUUGUCUGCAUCCGUGCCUCCUUGCUAUAAUGUACCUGGAUUUUGGUUAAAUUGAUAAAGUACAGUUGAAUCAUUCUAGACAUGAUUAAAAUAGAUUUUGAGAGGUUUAGAAUAAGUUUGGAUCGAAUUAAAAUUAAUUUUGGAUCGAAAUAGUGCUUCAAAACUGAAAAUUUUGAGUUCU